rnacentral:lncRNA from 1 species
CCACAGCCAUGUUAGGGACAGGAGGAGAAUCUCGCCCUAACAUGAGCAAAGUCGAAGGCCCAGUUCUCCUUAGACCGGAUAGGGAGAAAGGCCCUACAAUGCCCUCAUGCGCCCCCACAGCCAUGUUAGGGACAGGAGGAGAACCUCGUCCUAACAUGAGCAAAGUCGAAGGUCUGAUUAUUUUCAGACCGGAUGGGGGGAGAGGCUCUCACAACGGUCCAUAUGUGCCUCCACAGCCUUGUUAGGAAUAGGAGGAGAACCUCAUCCUGACGCCAACUAAGAUCCGGUCAUUCAAGACCAGAUAAGAAAAAGAAAAUCUUCUCGACGGCCCCUCCGCGCUUCCGCGACCCUGCUAAGAGCAGAGGGAAAACCCUCCCUCGAGAAAAAAAAAAGGGAGAAGUUAAAAAGGAAAGCAACGAACUACACCAGCGACAAAUAAAAAAUAAAUUACAUCAAAGAUACAGGGGACCUCGUCUCAGCGAGGAUGGGGAUUCUUAUCAAAAAUCUCCAGUCUCCAAGAGGGCUCUCAACACAGGCCAAGGAUAAGACGGCUUCCUCAAGGCGACGAGAAGUUCAGACCUCCGAGCUCGAACUCCGAAAGGAAGCGUCAAACUCGAGUGGCCCCGGACAAAUUUGCGGCCAUAAACAAAAGGGACAGGUCAAUACGACGAUGAUUGGGUACCUUCGAAUGAGAUCGAUAUCGAGCAAGGCAAAAAUCGAAAGAAGUUCGGCAAACGACAACUCAACACAUGAGUAGAAGAGGUAAUGAAAUUUUUUUUUAUUUCAUUAACUAAGUAUGCAUUACAAAGCCCUUAAGGCCGAAAAAGAAAGAUGACAAGAAAAGCAAGCCAACAUGGCGACGAUAAGGAACCUUCAGACAACAUCGACCUCGAACGAGAUAAAGAAAAAAAAUAAAUAAAAGAAGUUCGGCGGACGAUAAUUUGACGCAAAGUGCGGACAAGGUAACAAAAAAUCUCCUUUUCAUUUUUGAUUAACAAGGUAUACGUUACAAAGCCCUGAAGGAC